GGCCCAGGUGGGCGGGGUGACCAGGCGGGGGCGGAGGUGGGGGCUGCCCUUCCCUCCAAGGUCUGUGGCCAGAACCUGGAGCUGGGAAGGGGAGCUGACCCCCUUAGGAGCCAUUUUCUCCUCUUUACCCAAUGGCUGGGAAAGCCCGAGGCUCUUUCUUUUGGCAUCACAGCCAGGACGCCAGCCCGCGGAGGACAGGCUGAGGGGCGGGAAACCAGCCCCCGCUCCACUGUGUGCUUGCGGUGCUGAGUCGACCUUGCUUCUCCAGGAUAGGAGUGUGAUAAACAGUGAUUAUGGCUAAAGUUUGUGGUGUUUGUGUCUCCGCAGAUCAAAACUCUGUCUCCCCUCUGUGAACACAAGCCAUCAAAAGCUGAUCUGUAUUUAAUUUUCUCUGGGUGGUCCCGGGUUGACAUCUUGCCCUUUGGUCUCACCCUAGAAACUAGGGACCCGAUCCUUUGUUCCGUCUGCUUCUAAGAUAGCACGCCUCCCCGCUGCUGGCCUGGCCUGGGAUUUCAGGCCUGGCCUGAAACUUCAUCUGAUGCUAGAAGGAACAAGAGAACCUUACAUUUCCUGGUGAACAUUCUGGGCGAAAAGCAAGUGUCCCGGUCGCAUCUGUGCACAACUGGUCUGCGUUCACGAGAAAGCUGCAGAGCCACAGACAACCAACCCCUCCGACCCCUCUGGUGGAAUGUGUCUCUCUUGGCAUCUGCAAGGUCCAGGGAUGAAAUGAUACUUCAAGGUCGGGGACUUUGCUCACCUGUGCGGGGGCAUUUAUCACUCCCACCGGAGCCUUCCUGGAGAUGCGUUCAGAGAUAAACUCAUUCAGACGUGGCCAUGAAAUCUGAGGCUGGGAAAGUGGGCUUGAAAAGCUCCUCUUAAGGUCUCUUACAUUUCAGGUGAGUCAGAAUUCCAUGAACUUACCGACAGAAGCUCUGAUGACAUGCCCAUGACCUGGGUGAUCCCAGGUCUCCCUGACAUUCUGCCACCCUUUUGGUCCUUCAAGUCACCUGUG
rnacentral:lncRNA from 1 species